CGCUCGGGGCUCACCCCGUGCCGGAUUGCACGAGGUUUUGUGGAGUCGGUUUUUUUCCCCAAAAGGCUUGGUCCUUUUGAGAACGCUCUGUUAAAAAGAAAGAAACAAACAACCCCAAUCUCCCAAAACCCGCAGUGCAACAAAACCUCGGAACCGACCUGUGUAGAUUUCAGCAGUUCAAAAGGAGAAGGAGUUUUGUUUCAGGUAUAUUGACAAUUGUGACAGCAAGUGCUUGUGACUGUACAGCAAUGGAUGAUAAAAGAGUAGUCUGGGCUUUCUCUGGAAGUUACCAUUGAGAGCAGAUGAACUGUCAGAGCUUGAAGAGUAAGAAGUCACGUCCACACUACUGAGGUGCCAAUUAGCCAACUUUGAACACGGUCCAUUUGUCAGAUUUUAGGGAGUGAACAUUGUUGGUAGCUGGAAACAAGAGACAGGGAAAGCUAUUACUGGAAUAACACAUGGAAAUAUCCAAUUGUUCUCUACAAGCUGUAACUUUUGUUUCAUCAGCAAGUAUGGAAGCAAAGCUGGCCAGGCUUCCUGACUAGCAAUUGUAGCACAGCUUUCUUUCAUCAGAUUUUGAUAACUUCAUCAGAGACAGGCAGCAAUCUCUGGAUUUUGACAUUGUCAAUUUUAUAUAAAUUGAUAAAAUCUCUGAAACAGAUUAAAAGUCUCUGCUAAAAUCCUUGAAAAAUUUUCUUGGUGCUUUGUGUGAGUAUCCUGGGGCACAAUAUCAAUAUUAAUAAUAAUGUCUAAGGUAAUGCUGAUCUGUCUGCCAAACAAAAAAAAAAAAAAUUCCAUCCUUUAUCUCUGGCUUUUUCCACUAUUUUCUCUAUCAAUGGUGGUCAUAGAAGUACAGAAGCAGUCAUGUAUCUAAUAUUUCUCCAUUUAAGUUUUUUGGGAAAAUGUCUGUCAAUAAAUUGUGUGAGCUUGUAAAGAAGUAUAA